rnacentral:rRNA from 1 species
UACGGAGGGUGCAAGCGUUAAUCGGAAUUACUGGGCGUAAAGCGCGCGUAGGUGGUUUGGCAAGUCGGGUGUGAAAGCCCUGAGCUUAACUUGGGAAUUGCAUUCGAUACUGCCUGGCUAGAGUAUGGUAGAGGGAAGCGGAAUUCCGCAUGUAGCGGUGAAAUGCGUAGAUAUGCGGAGGAACACCGGUGGCGAAGGCGGCUUCCUGGACUAAUACUGACACUGAGGUGCGAAAGCGUGGGGAGCAAACAGG